rnacentral:RNase_P_RNA from 3 species
CGAGUCGGUCGGACGGUCGCGUCGCCGUCGAACCCGGGCAACCGGAAGCGCCGGCGCCGAGGAACGUCCGGGCUCCGAAGGGCAAGGUGGUGGCUAACGGCCACCCGGGGUGACCCGCGGGACAGUGCCACAGAAAGCAGACCGCCGGCGUCGGGCGACCGGCGUCGGUAAGGGUGAAACGGUGGUGUAAGAGACCACCAGCGCAUCCGGUGACGGGUGCGGCUCGGUAAACCCCACCUGGAGCAAGGUCAGACAGGGAGCGUUCGAGGGCGGCCCGCCCGAGCUCCCGGGUAGACCGCUCGAGGCCUGCGGCAACGCAGGCCCUAGAUGGAUGACCGUCACCCGCGUCCGGGCAACCGGCGCGGGCACAGAACCCGGCGUACAGACCGACUCGUCCG